rnacentral:lncRNA from 10 species
CAAGACUCUGCUCCUCCCAAGUAUCACGGGUACUGGGGAAGCAGGGGCUUCUGUUGCUGGGAUGGCUGCUCUUGGCACUAACGCCCUGAAUCUUUCCUCUUUGCUCCUGGUCCAGACUGGGCCAGGGACAGCGCCCAGCAACACACACAGGUUGUGCUGAGUGGUCCGCUUUGGUUCUGCUGUUGGGCUGCCAGUGGAGGGCAGGGGAGUCCGUCCGCUUCUUGAGGACAGUCCGGGGUCCUCCACUGAUCUCUCUUCUCACCUUUCAGGUCUUUUGCAGCUGCCUUGGGCCCUUAGCGCCCACGUCCCAGACCCGGACCUCUUGGCUCAGAUCUUGGAUGAACCUAGCAACCUUGAGGACAGACAGGUAAUUUCAACAUUUUCUCCUGUGGAAGGCAGAAUCCCUCCUCCUUCUCUCAAGGAUAUCCAUAUCCUAAUCUCUGGAACCUGUUACCUUACACGAUGAAAAGAACUUUGCAGAUGUAAUUAAGUUUAUGACCUCAUCUCUACAAAAAUACAAAAAUUAGCCUGGCACAGUGGCGGGUGCCAGUAAUCCCAGCUACCCAGGAGGCUGAGGCAGGAGAAUUGCGUGAACUGGGGAGGCAGAGGUUGCAGUGAGCCAGGAUCGCGCCACUGCACUCCAGCCUGUGUGACAGAACCAGGCUCCAUCUCAAUAAUAUAAAAUAAAAACAGAGGAAGGACUCAAUGAAAGACUCGAUGCAGUGUUGCUGGUUUCAAGAUGUGGGAGGAGGGCUCUCUGACAAGGAAGGCAGGUGUCCUUGAAGAGCUGAGAGAGGGCCAGUUUAGGUGGCUUCUGACUGUAAUCCGAGCGCCUUUGGGAGGCUGUGGUAGGAGGAUUGCUUGAGACCAAGAGUUUGAGACCAGCCUGGGCAACAUAGCGAGAAGCCCA